rnacentral:misc_RNA from 1 species
UACAGAAGCCUCGAGCGUUAUCCGGAAUCACUGGGUUUAAAGGGUGCGUAGGCGGCGUCAUAAGUCAGAGGUGAAAGCCUGCAGCUUAACUGUAGAAUUGCCUUUGAUACUGUGGUGCUUGAAUAAGGAUGAGGUAAGCGGAAUGUGGCAUGUAGCGGUGAAAUGCUUAGAUAUGCCAUAGAACACCGAUUGCGAAGGCAGCUUACUGGACCUUUAUUGACGCUGAGGCACGAAAGCGUGGGGAGCGAACAGG